UGAGGAAACUGCCUUCAUGACUAGUGC
rnacentral:piRNA from 1 species